GAGUACGGCCAUGCCACCCUGAACACACUGGAUCGCGUCUGAUUUCAGAAGCUAAGCAGGGUAGGGCCUGCUUAGUACUUGGAUGGGAGACCACCUAGGAAGAUCAGAUGCUGUAGGCA
rnacentral:rRNA from 1 species